rnacentral:tRNA from 1 species
AGAGGUUGUGGCUCGGUGGUAGACCAUCUGUUUUGCACACAGAAGGUCCCGGGUUCAACCCCCGGCAUCUCCA